rnacentral:misc_RNA from 1 species
UCUCAACUUUGGCCUGCAUUUCCCGAAGGGCACCGGCCUCCUCUUCGAUCUCCUUAAGCCUCCUCUUCAUGUCCUCCAAGUCCUUGGAGUUGGCGUUACUAGGGUCGGCGUCGUAGGCUUCUUCGUCGGCCCUACCAGAGGACAUGUCGAGGUCGGCAUCCAUCUCGGCAUCGUCGGGAAUAUCGCCACCGUAGACUUCGUGUUCGUGCUCGUCGUAGUUAAAAUUGCGCUCCAUCUCCGUCUCCGGUGGCCCCUCGAUCGGUGGUUGG